rnacentral:rRNA from 1 species
GACAGAGGGUGCAAACGUUGUUCGGAAUUACUGGGCGUAAAGCGUGCGCAGGCGGUUCUCCAAGUCCGUUGUGAAAGCCCCGGGCUCAACCUGGGAAUGGCAGUGGAAACUAGGGGACUUGAAUCUGGCAGAGGGGGGUGGAAUUCCACGUGUAGCAGUGAAAUGCGUAGAGAUGUGGAGGAACACCGAUGGCGAAGGCAGCCCCCUGGGCUGAGAUUGACGCUCAGGCACGAAAGCGUGGGGAGCAAACAGG